ensembl:lncRNA
CUGCAGCGGCCGUGUCGGCACCGAGAGCACCCUGCCGGGACUCUGGAUCCGCCUCUCGCCCGGGUGGAGCGGCCACUGCUCCGGACAGCACCGAUUACCGGAGAGAGGCAAGUGUUCAAGGAUGCUUCACAGGUUUUCUUCCUUAAGCUCCAGCUCCCUCCCGAGUCCUCCCCACUCCUACCCGCACCUCCGCCCCCAGAUAUGCAGCUUUAGGGGAGAAGCGAGGAGCCGGCGGCGGGGUGGUGAGGGGCUUUCUUCCAGAGAGGAGUGGAAAGCAGCGAUCUUUCUUCCAGGCCGUGGCGACCCAAACCAGGUAAAAUCCCCACCAGGAUCCCCGGUCCAGUUCUCUGCCUCAGGGCAAGGGUGUGGGGUUGGAGGAACAGCAGAGCGGAACUAAGGUUUCCCAGGAUGAGCCUGGGGCUGCCUUGGGGGGCCGAACGGGGGCAACCGGGCUUGGCAUCUGCCAAAGGUGCCGCAGCUGCCGCCAAAUUCACGAAGCCGGGCGGGGAAGACGGUAAGGGCGCCUGGAAAGCAGGAAGCGGCUCCUAAACCUGGCACCCCAGCGCUCCAAAGGGGGUGCUCUACCCGCUCGGAGCUGUGGGGGCGUUUAGUUCUCGUACCCACUCCGCCGGGCGACGCUGAAACCCGGUCUGCCGUCUGUUUGGCUGGGUCUGGCGCCCCAUCCGAGAUGCGCAGCACCCCCAGACCCCGGAGUGCGCGGUCUCUGGCCACAACCUCCCCAAGCCCACCGUGGCCGCCGCCCGGUCUCCCGCGCUCCUCGCUUUUCAGAUUCCAGAUGCAAGCCGACCUGUUGCAUGCAGAAAAGCGGCGGGGUGAGAUGUUCCAGGUCUCUCCUCCCCGCCUUGCCGGCCUCCGCCCGCCACGAGAUCUGACAGCCAGGAGCCCCCGGGACCUUGCGUGCAGACGCCGAGAGCCUAGUGCCCAAAGAGAAAACGCGUAAGUGCUGGGAGGCCACCGGGUAAUCAUCCCACUGCAAAUUGCCGCAUUGUGAUUGUGGCAAAUCAUCCCGCUAACCCGGGGAAGGAAAAGGAGAGGCGCGGGGGACUGAGCCGGGCAGGGAGUCGAGUCUACUGCAAAAAGAGCAUCCAGUGCAGACAAGUCCUAGUCUCGCCUUUUACCCUGGCGGCAGACUGAGCGCGUGCACUUUACGUCCCUACCUCGGAGUUAAAACGGGUCGGCCGAUGGUCCCCAGAGCCCCUCCACAGCGAGUCCGAGACUUCAGCUUCAGCACCAGAGAGUGGACAGCGCCCUGCCGGUCUUCGCCCAAGGGUGGGUUCCCGCCAGUACUCUGCUUCCUAGCCCGGUUCCCCAGAUCCCUCGCGAGGGAGGCCAGGAGGCGAGACAGGGUUCACCGAGAAAAGGAGGGGAAGGGUUUCAUCUUCCCUAUUUUCAGGAAUUUAAGUAUCAAAUUCUGGGAGGGCAUUCUAUCGUCCCUCCUCUAAAAGCAUUUGGAAUAACUUGGUGCCAAGCACAAGCAGGAUGUCGAAGAGGAAAGAUGUGCUCUGGUAAGUGGUGAGCCUAGGCACAAGUGGGACAGUGGUUCUACCGGGGACCCCGGCACUGGUGUCCUGUGGAAGGUCAGGGCAUCCAAGUCACAUUCUCUCUACUGCAAACCCCCCUUCUCUCUCACUCUCCCCGAAGUCUCCAUAGGCCUUAACACCGGUAAAUGAAGAGAAAAGAGUGGGAUGGUGGGAGAAGAUAUCGAGCUAUGGAGGCCAAGGUAAAAACCACAUUUUAUCAGGGCUGGAACAACUUAGUGAAGAUGACAUCUGUCCAAAUUGCACGUUGAGGUCUGUUUAGCCAAAGGAGCACGGAGUGCUCUUUGUGUUAGGAGAUGAAUGACUAUUUUGCCAAGAAGGAAAAUAGCCAUCCAAGGGAAGAUGUUAUCACAAAAGGGGGCUAACAGAGGUGGGGGAGGAAGAGAGGGGGACAGGACCCCCCCAACUAGAGUGUGGUUUCCAGGCAACCAGCCCAGCCUCUUGUUUCCGUGGUUACAGUGAGUGGAGGGGCUUUGGCUAUUGAUUUAUCUGGAAGCAACUUUAUUCUUGAAAAUACCUGCUUUGGAGCUCCUUCCUUCCCUGGUCUGGAUGUGAGUCAACAACCGCUUCCUCAAAAUUCCUGGGGGUUAAGAGUAAAUCCUGGAAGGCAAAUUUUUUUUCUUUUAAAUCAAGGUGCCUGGUGAAGCAAGUACCUUUCUGCCACCUCAGUCCUUCCUUUCCUCUCUCCCACCUCCUUCAGAAAGGUAAUCAUAUCCUACCCUGUCCUUUCUCUGGGGUUUACUGGGGCUUUUAUUUUUCUCCUAUGAUCCUUUAGACAGAAGGGCUCAUCCGCGGCCACCCCAGCCCUGUGUGCUUUGCUUUUUUCCCUUUACAUGAGAAAGACACAUUUGUUCUUCAUGAAUUGGAGGGAGAGAGGACACUGUCCAACAGUGUCUCCAGUAGAGAGAGGCUUUUCCCUUGUUUUGGCAGUGAUUCCUUCCUCCCUAAACACCCCUCAUGCUGGAGAGGGUGAAUUCUUGAUCAACCCCCUCUUUUCAGACCACAGACCACACAGAAACCACAGGUGGUAAAAAUGGGACACCCUUAGCAAAAGCCAUUUGCAUCACCAGCAUCAGAUUCCUCAAAAAUCUAUUUUCUUUCUCUUCAGCUCUGCCUUCAUAAUUAGGAAAUGAAGCACUUAAAGCUUCUAAUCUUCUGAGCUUUUCAUUUCCCUGGAUUGACAAACGCUGAUUUUGCUUUUCAUCUAUCAGACUAGUCUGCCUGCAUUCAUUCGCAGUAUCUGGGUAGAAAAUCACUUUACCCAUCAUUUCUCAAAGGCAGAUGUAACAUUCUCAGGAUGACUUAAGGGGAAAUUGCCAGUAAGUCAGAACAACCUGAGCUCUGUGUGCUACUUUACUCAGACUACUUCUUAAGAGCCAUGAACUUUCUUUUUCUACAGUAAAACCUUGUUUUAAACUGAGCUAUCAUUUGACAACAGAGGAAUAGAGGAAAUCUCUCUUCCAGGCAGUAACUAUCAUUUUUAUCUUUGUUGCUCUGCAUUACAGACACACAUAUCUUUACUUUUCACCUUUUCUUUCACUCAUUGCUAAUGUAAAUUUAAAAAAAAAUCAUUUUAAUUCCAGACUAAGUUGAACGCCAAAAUUAUCCUCCAUGGGCUGGCUAGAUAUAAUUUUGGGGACAUUUACAUUAAAAUGCUUUCCCCUCACACGUUACUAUAGAAACUUCUUUUUAGUUCAGACCAGACAGCUGGUCUGCUUUUUGUACUUUUCUUCCCAAAGAAGUGCCUUCCUUUAUGAAUUCUCUGGGGCAGCUAUCAUUGAUCACAUCAAUAAAAUCCCAUAGCAACUGUGUUUUUUUUUUUUAAAUUAUUAUUCCUUUUCUGCUCAUUUUCUUUAUGGACAAAGGGUCUACUUUCCUUUCAAGAGGAGAACUGAGAUCUUACUGGCCAGAAGGGAAGAAGUAUUCUUUCAUUGGUUGUUGUGUGUUGCCUUGUCAACCAAUCAGAGGAUGCCAUUUAUCCUUUUCUGACUAGCUAGGUGAGCAGGGUACCCAGAAUGAUUGAAUCUGCUUUAGUACCAUCCAGUAGCAAAGGAUGGGACUCAGAGUUCUGAGACCCAGGAUGUGCUAUUUGCUUUGGCCAACUCAGAUUCAUUGGACUUGCAAAGAUGACUUCUGUAACCUAGUUAUUUGUAGCUUACUCGAACACAUCUGAAUUACAUAUUAUUCUUUUUCAAAAAAUUUUAUUUUAUUUUUGGUCGAGCUUGGUUUUCAUUGCUGUCUGGGCUUUCUCUAGUUGUGAUGAGCAGGGGCUACUCUCUAGUUGCGAUGUGCAGGCUGCUCAUUAUCCUGGCUUCUCUUAUUGUGGAGCAUGGACUCUAGAGCUCAGGCUUAGUAGCUGUGGUGCUCGGGCUUAGUUGCUCCACAGCAUGCAGAAUCUUUCCAGACUGGGGAUCAAACCCCUGUUCCCUGCAUUGGACAGGCAGAUUCUUAACCGCUGGACCAUGAGGAACUCCUGAAUUACACAUUAUUCUGUGAAUUUUUUUCAUUUUAAAAUAUAUUAUGAUCAUUCUUCCAAGUCCAUGCAGAUUAUGAGUAUCAGCACACCAAUGGUCCAGGGAUCUUUGUGAUUUCCUUUAGAAGUAUAGAAUUUAUCCCUAAGGGAUUUGGUGAAAAUUUGGAGAGUUGAGGUUGGGAAGCUAGAAGAGGAAAGAGCUUUGUUCCUUAUGAUGAACAUAUAUCUCAGCAUUUGGAUUCAUUCUGUCUAACUUUGAUGUCCCUGGUAGUUUUAUUUGUUUGUUUUUCUAUAUUAAUUCUUCACAGCUGUCUUCUGGCCUGCAUUUUCAGUGACAAAAAGGUGGAUAGAUGGAGACAAUGACCCUCUAAUUUGGUGUAAGAGAAGACAUAACUUUCCAGGAAGGCUGUGACAGAUAGUCUUGCUUAGGGAUGCUCACAUUAGUCUCCACUUCUCAAAAAGGAGGGGCGCGUCAAAGUUCCUUCUCUUCCAAGACAGGAAUCAUCUGGCAACAGCUUGAGAAAACUUAAGGUAAGUACAGACCCCACUGGUCCGUCUUCCCUUGUUCUUGGCUGGAGGGGAUCCUGGGAGUGGACAGAAUCUCCACCAUGAUGGUGCUAUCAAGAGCCACCUCCUUUAGUGACCCCAUCUAUGCCAGAGUCUGACUGGGGCAAUGACCAAGCUCUAAGCCUUUAAUAAUGGGCGCUAUGUCACGUAUGCGUUUGGAGCCUGCACCCUCCCCCGCCCCUCUCUUCCAUAUUCCCUAGCUCUCUUCACAAAAAGAUAAAUGAAGGCUCCGUUACUUGUCUCCAUGGUUACAUGGAAUGGCCACCCUGAGGAUCCCUAUCACCCCUUACUGUCGGAAGGAAAAAGAGAGGAGGGGUUCGGGGAUCUUUGUGAAGGAGGAAACCAUGGAAACAAGCGUUGCUAAGGGGAUGGUUCUAAAUUCAGAGGAAAGAAACAAAGUGGGGAGAGGGAGUUGAUGGGCUCAAGGGCAGGUCAGUUUUUCAAGGUACAUUUCUCUGAGGCUUCAGCAGCCUCUUUCACUUCUUGCAUCUUGCCCUCAACCCAGAUGGAGCCCAGAGUUUAAAAAUUUUAGAAAGCUGGGGCCUCUGUCAGGUUCAAAUCCAUCUCCGUCGGUCCUGCAAGGAAAAGGCCAAUGACAGUGGGUUUAUUGUGUUCACACCUCAUGAUUAUACUUUUAUCUCUAAACUCUGCCUCACUGCUGAUCAGUUUCAUCUAAUAUGAGCCAGGCUCUUGCGAGGCUUUGGAAAAUAAUCAUCAGCAAAAUAGUCCCUGCUUGCAUGGUGAGCUGAUAGCAGGACAGUCCCUUGGUGACUUUAGAGCCAAGAUUUGCUCACAUGGACUGGACUGGACAGUCGUGCAUAGCAGGAUAUGGCAGUGUCCAGGAGUCUCUCCAAACUCUCUUUGUAAUACCUUUUAGCUUAUUUAUUACUAUCUGAAGUUUACCUGAGAGCUUGCUGGGAAAGGCCAGUUUUUCCUGGGAAUACUUAGGGCUCUAGCCCCUCCAGUGAACCUUCACCUUGGUUAGCCAUGCCCUCUGAUAUUAGCACUCUUGUCUCUGAAACGGUACAUCAAGGAUGAUGAACUAGUCCUCUCUCAACAGAGCCAAAGCGACUUAGGUUUUUUUGGUUUUAAACUUUUUGGCUGCAGCGCUCAGCAUGCAGGAUCUUAGUUGCUCCACCAGGGGUUGAAACUGCACCUUCUGCAGUGAAAGCUUGGAGUCUUAACCAUCCUGGUGACUCAGAAGGUAGAGAAUAUGCCUGCAGUGCAGGAGACCUGGGAAGAUCCCCUAGAGAAGGAAAUGGCAGCCCACUCCAGUAUUCUCGCCUGGAGAAUACCAUGGACAGAGGAGCCUGGGAGGCUACCGUCCAAGGGGUCGCAAAGAGUCGGACACGACUGAGCGACUAAACACACACACAGUUAUUUUCUUUUACAAGAAGUUAAUGGCAAUAAAUCCCUCUUUCUUCCUUGAUGACUUAGCUGGGAUGGGGAGCCCUCAAGACCCUGCACCUUAGAGCUGCAGAGUUAGCACCUUGGUAGGGAGUGGAGGGGGGCCAGUCUUAGCCUCCUGGGGAGGGACACCCCUCUCCCCUCUCUUAUAUCAGGCUGACUGCUGGAAGGGGCUGGGCCUCCCAGCUGGGUGCUGCUGGUCUCCUCCACAUCCCCUGCUCUUCAGUUGCUCUGGGCCAGCCCUUCCUCACUCUGGGCGGAGAGAACCAGCCCAGAGAUGGAGGGUUGGGCUACAGAGGAAGAGCCUGUAAUUAAGAAGAGAAAGAAUUAAAAGCAGCACAGAAAGGGAAGGGUAAUUAUCCUUCAGCUGCUGCAGAAAUACAAUUAGGGCCGUGCUCUUGGAGCCGCCAGGAUAUUGUGGCUUUGGCUAAUUAAGAAGCGGAUAUCCCCUGCCAGGACAAUUAGUGGCCUGCCUGGCUGGCAGGGGCCCUUUCCCUCCCCUCCAUCAGGGUCCAGGCCUGGGGAAAUGAAGCACGGAGCCCAGCUUGGG